AUGCAUGCCGGCGGAGGACCCGCCACCGGCCACUCACUACAAGCCAACCGUGGCCUCAGAUCAGGCCGUCUCCCCACCCUGGACACAGGCACACCCGGGGCACAGCCUGCAGGGGAUCCCGAGCCACGGGGGUCUGCACCCUUGUCUCCAAGCUCUUGCGUCUAUCAGCUGCUGCUGUGCUUCGGGUCCCGUCUGGUCUCUGACAGCCCCCCGCACGGUCACCUCUUCCGCCCAGGGCCACAUGGGAAGCAGAACCACACCUCACCAGGAGCAGACACGGUCCUUCAUGGGAAGGGCGCACUACCACCACUCCCAGCAUGGGCAGCCUUCCCCGGGCCCCAGGGCCGUGAGCGGGAGCCAGUAGGGUGUGCAAGAGCUCAGAGCGCCCUCAGAUCCAGCAACCCCCCAGCAUCUCCGUGGGGCUCUGCCUCACCACGCUGGACAGUGCCAGUCACUCGGCCCUUCCUUCCUGCUUCCGAGGCACCUUCCUGUUAUUCCUUCAAAGCAGACAAACAGGAUCUUUCCCUGGUGACAACUGCCAGACCACCAGCAGGGCAGCUCCCCUGCCUUGCGUGUGGCCACAGGACACUUCCACUGGGGUGCAGGUGCCCGCAAUGGAACAGCUCCUGCUUCCCCAGGACCUCGCGCACUCUGGAAGACCGUGCACCUAUAGGAUGGAAGCAGUACUCAUCACCUUGGAGGGCAGAAGGAUGCUGGUCAGCUGCUCUGUGGGGACAUACAAGGAAGUCAAGAAUUCAUCUGAACAGGAAUUAUAAUGAGGCUCCUGGAGGAAGCUGCUGCCAGAGCAGAAGCUGGCGAAGCCUUCCCAACAUCAGAGGCCCUGCCAGGGUCCCUGGCACAGCAACUGCCACAGAGCGUGACCCGUCACGGAAAGCACUUCAUCUUCAUUUUAAUUAA
rnacentral:lncRNA from 12 species